rnacentral:sRNA from 1 species
GGCUGGCCCAAGUGUUUACAAGUAAUUGAUUGUAACUAGUUGUGGAUUUUUUUUGUUCCUUCAUUCCCCACUACUUCUCUUGACUAACCCUUA